rnacentral:tmRNA from 1 species
GGGACUGAAAAGGUUUCUACAUAUUGGUUUGUUUUAUUAAUUUGAGUUAAUUUUAACUUAUGUUUAAGUAAGUUUUAGUAGGUAAAGUUAUUUUUCAAAUUUUAUUUAAAUGCAAAACAUAAAAUUAUAGUUUUUUCUAAAAAAGAAUUGUUUGUUUAAAUUUUUAGAAUAUUUAAAUUAUAUUUUUUUGAAUAUAUUUUGAUAGAUAUAUGAAAAUGCUCUUAUUAUAAUUUAUACUUAUCGUAUAUAUUGUUUUUUUAUAAUUAAUAAGCUAAAGUAAAAAAUUAAAAUUACAAAACUUGAUUAUAUUAUUUUUUUAAUUUUAUUAAAUCGACAUAUUAACUUUAUUUCUUUUUAAUUAAUAUAUAAUAUCAAUAUGGACGUGGGUUCAAUUCCCGCCAGUUCCA